GGCUCAGGAUGAACGCUAGUCGCAGGCUUAACACAUGCAAGUCGAGGGGUAGAAGUCUUCGGAUUUUGAGACCGGCGCACGGGUGCGUAACGCGUAUGCAAUCUGCCUUUCACAGAGGGAUAGCCCAGAGAAAUUUGGAUUAAUACCUCAUAGNAUUANAAGAUGGCAUCAUUUUAUAAUUAAAGUCACAACGGUGAAAGAUGAGCAUGCGUCCCAUUAGCUAGUUGGUAAGGUAACGGCUUACCAAGGCUACGAUGGGUAGGGGUCCUGAGAGGGAGAUCCCCCACACUGGUACUGAGACACGGACCAGACUCCUACGGGAGGCAGCAGUGAGGAAUAUUGGUCAAUGGGCGCAAGCCUGAACCAGCCAUGCCGCGUGCAGGAUGACGGUCCUAUGGAUUGUAAACUGCUUUUGUACGGGAAGAAACACUCCGACGUGUCGGAGCUUGACGGUACCGUAAGAAUAAGGAUCGGCUAACUCCGUGCCAGCAGCCGCGGUAAUACGGAGGAUCCAAGCGUUAUCCGGAAUCAUUGGGUUUAAAGGGUCCGUAGGCGGUUUGGUAAGUCAGUGGUGAAAGCCCAUCGCUCAACGGUGGAACGGCCAUUGAUACUGCCAGACUUGAAUUAUUGGGAAGUAACUAGAAUAUGUAGUGUAGCGGUGAAAUGCUUAGAGAUUACAUGGAAUACCAAUUGCGAAGGCAGGUUACUACCAAUUUAUUGACGCUGAUGGACGAAAGCGUGGGUAGCGAACAGGAUUAGAUA
rnacentral:rRNA from 1 species